rnacentral:tRNA from 1 species
GCCUGGCUGGCUCAGUUGGUAGAGCAUGCGACUCUUGACUUCAGGAAAGUGAGUUCAAGCCCACGUUGGGCA